AGGGCGCCGCAGCGUGCACGGAAGCCGCGGGCGCGAGCCCGGGUGAAGCCGACCGCGGGUGCAGAUCUUGGUGGUAGUAGCAAAUAUUCGAACAAGACCUUCGCAAGAUCG